UGACUGUCCAGUGCCUGAGAAGAAUACAAGUAUUCAAAGAACAGGUAAAACAGGAAGAGCCUGAUCUCUGAGCCCUAUGCCAUUACGGCCAAGGCACUAGCAACCAGCCCAGUGGCAGGAAUUUGUCCUUCCCUGCGGUGUAGCCACAGGCUAGAGGUGCUCUGCUGAACACUCAGACAAGGCACAUUCUGAAGGGUUGUGCUAUUCAGGACAUCUCUGAAAAAGAACACGUAGGAAAGACAGAGGAGGGUGGGAGUGUCAAGAAGACUUACUGAGCUGCACUGAAGCUCUUGAAUUCUUUUUGCCCGGUCCCUGUACCCCGCCCUGCAAAAUUAUGCGGGGUUGUCAAGUGCAUCGGUCAAGAAAGCGUUCUUGAGACGUUCAUGGUGCAACUUAGUUUAUCUAAGCACAGGCGCAGGACCCACGGGCAGAAAGAGCAGCACUUUUUGCUGUGAGGCUGGUUGUUACAGACCUAGUAAUCAAAAAGAAAGCGGGUAUGCAGGGAGUGUCAGAUUUCAAGAGUCCUUGAAUUUCUACUUGUAAAACUACGUUUGCAAGAUUCCUCUGCUGCUUAUCAUUCAGUCUGACAUUAAGUAUAGGUGAGAUAUAUAGGCAGUCACGAGACCCUUAAUCACUGUAGCAACCAGCACGUAUUUGAUGUUUAUCAAAACAAUCCAGGCUUUAGGUCAGCCUUCCAGGCUAACGGGAAGCAUUUCCCUGCUUCAGUCCUUCAUCUGUUUCACGAUCCUGCUGAACCGCUUUCAGGCCCCUUGUAGAUGAUGUUUCAUCAGCCUGGGACACAUCUCCCUUUGUGCAUGACCUUCACCGCUUUCACUGGCCUUUGACCCCAGGAAAUUCCACAACAGCGUUUUAACCGAGUCAUUACCCUAAGCAGAAAGUAACCAGGCACUGUGAAUAGCCACUCUCCCAGCCAGUGUCCUGGUUUUGAGUGGACAUGUGUAAGUGGUGCACAUGCACCUUUGCUGUGUGGUUUAGGGUUUUUCUAGACUACUUAUACUCUAGGAGGCUUAACGACUGGGAGACUUCUCUAGCAGCCUAGCAAGAAGACCAUGCAUGUUGCUGACACAAAGUUUUUGGUAUCCUUGAGGGCACUUUUUGUUGCAGAAAAGACUAAUCAUAUAUCAAUAUGCAUUUUAUAAAUUAAUGUUCAAUUUAUUUGAUUUACAAAAUUAAAAAACCUAGGGACGCCUGGGUGGCUCAGCAGUUGAGUGUCUGACUUUGGCUCAGGGCGUGGUCCCGAAGUCCCGGGAUCAAGUCCCACAUUGGGCUCCCUGCAUGGAGCCUGCUUCUCCCUCUGCCUCUGUCUCUGCCUUUCUGUUUGUGUGUGUGUGUGUGUGUGUGUCUGUCGUGAAUAAAUAAAAUCUUAAAAAAAAAAAGUUUAAAAACCUAGUUCUUCCACAAGUUGCAAAAAAGUAUUAUUUCUAACAGUUUAACAAUGUAGGUAUAUAUUUAACCAUCAAGUUUUCAUACCUCUCCUUCAGUGUUUGCUGAGUACUUAAACAACUGAUUUUUUUUUCUUAAAGAUUUUAUUU
rnacentral:lncRNA from 1 species